CAGCGCCAUGGUAAUGCGAACGAGACGGCACCCGGUCGGGGGAUGCGCGAUGAGAUGCGCUCCGGCCUCCAGGACCGAGGGCCGACACCUAUAGAGCUCCCGAUAGAUCGCAGCCACGCCGGUGUGAGCUCCACGUUACACCGAGCAAUAAAAAGGUCUCAGCUCCGCCGAUCCCAGGGGCAGCUCCUCAAGCUGUCGAUGCAAUGCAAGGCAGUGGCAUAAAGGUGAGGCCGAUGGGAUGCAGGUGGCACCGAGGGACCGAGCCCCAGGAACUCACACCCUCAGCAAUAACAGCCUUGGGAUGGAGCUGCACACCCACGUCUCAUCCAAAUGUGUGAAGAGCCGUUUCAAGCUGCUCCUCCUCCAUCCCCCCCCCCCGACCUCUGCUCUAUUCCCACCAGCUCAACACCGAGACAGAAGAGAAGGAAGGGAGAGGGCUCAUCCCAAGCCAAACUCCAUCCUGAAGCCCUGGGAGGAUCAGCUGGUGGCAGCAGGGGUGGCAAUAGAGGGAGCAGCACUGAUUUACACUGUGCCGACAGCCAGACCCAAGGGAUAUUGGGUCCAGAGUGCUGCUGCAGCAGGGAAACUACAACCCCUGCCCUGAUGUGCUGCUGCUCACAGCGGGGUGCAGAGCAAAGGGACAGCCCAAGUCCUGCAGUGAAUGACAGCAAAGGCAAAUCCCUCCCAGCAGGCUCAGGAGGGAAUGGAUAAAGCUUUGCUUGGGAGCAGGCAGCAGAAAGGAGUGAGGCCAG